UACGAAGGGGGCUAGCGUUGGUCGGAAUUACUGGGCGUAAAGCGGGAGUAGGCGGAUCGCUAAGUCGGGGGUGAAAGCCCAGGGCUCAACCCUGGAAUUGCCUUCGAUACUGGCGGUCUCGAGUUCAGGAGAGGUGAGCGGAAUUCCGAGUGUAGAGGUGAAAUUCGUAGAUAUUCGGAGGAACACCAGAGGCGAAGGCGGCUCACUGGACUGAUACUGACGCUGAGACCCGAAAGCGUGGGGAGCAAACAGG
rnacentral:rRNA from 1 species